GGAAAUAUAGCUCUGUUGGUAGAGCAUGAGGCUCUUAAUUUCAUGAUUGUGGGUUCAAGCCCCAUUGCACAGGGUUCG